rnacentral:rRNA from 1 species
GACGAACGCUGGCGGCGUGCUUAACACAUGCAAGUCGAACGGAAAGGCCCUGCUUUUGUGGUGUGCUCGAGUGGCGAACGGGUGAGUAACACGUGAGUAACCUGCCCUUGACUUUCGGAUAACUUCAGGAAACUGGGGCUAAUACCGGAUAGGAGCUCCUGCUGCAUGGUGGGGGUUGGAAAGUUUCGGCGGUUGGGGAUGGAUUCGCGGCUUAUCAGCUUGUUGGUGGGGUAGUGGCUUACCAAGGCUUUGACGGGUAGCCGGCCUGAGAGGGUGACCGGCCACAUAGGGACUGAGGUACGGCACAGACUCCUACGGGAGGAAGCAGUGGGGAAUAUUGCACCAUGGGCGGAAGCCGGAUGCAGCAACGCCGCGUGCGGGAUGACGGCCUUCGGGUUAUAAACCGCUUGCGCCUGUAACGAAGCGUGAGUGGCGGUAAUGGGUAAAGAAGCAACGGCUAACUACGUG